CACGUAGGGGGCGAGCGUUGUCCGGAAUCAUUGGGCGUAAAGAGCUCGUAGGUGGUUCAGUAAGUCGGGUGUGAAACCUUUAGGCUCAACCUGGGGACGCCAUUUGAUACUGUUGUGGCUAGAGUCUAGUAGGGGAGUGUGGAAUUCUUGGUGUAGCGGCGAAAUGCGCAGAUAUCAGGAGGAACACCGGUGGCGAAGGCGGGUCUCUGGGCCGAUACUGACGCUGAGGAGCGAAAGCGUGGGGAGCGAACAGG
rnacentral:rRNA from 1 species